rnacentral:pre_miRNA from 12 species
CCAGAACCCAGCCUUCAGAGGACUCCAAGGAACAUUCAACGCUGUCGGUGAGUUUGGGAUUUGAAAAAACCACCGACCGUUGACUGUACCUUGGGGUCCUUACAAACAACACUACAUUUC